GGAAGGGUACGGCUCAGUGGUAGAGUAUGUGCUCAGCAUGCACAAGGUCCUGGGUUCAAUCCCCAGCACCUCCA
rnacentral:tRNA from 1 species